UACGUAGGGACCAAGCGUUGUUCGGAUUUACUGGGCGUAAAGGGCGCGUAGGCGGCAAUUCAAGUCAUCUGUGAAAUCUCCGGGCUUAACUCGGAACGGUCAGAUGAUACUGCUUUGCUAGAGUGCGGAAGGGGCAAUCGGAAUUCUUGGUGUAGCGGUGAAAUGCGUAGAUAUUGGGAAGAGCACCUGAGGCGAAGGCGGGUUGCUGGGCUGAUACUGACGCUGAGGCGCGAAAGCCAGGGGAGCAAACGGG
rnacentral:rRNA from 1 species